GGAUGUGAGAGUGAUCUGGCUGCGACAUCUGUCACCCCAUUGAUCACCAGGGUUGAUUCGGCUGAUCUGGCUGGCUAGGCGGGUGUCCCCUUCCUCCCUCACAGCUCCAUGUGCGUCCCUCCCAAGGUUGUGCACUCAGUCAAAGAGGACGACCAUCCCCGAUAGAGGAGGACCAUUGUUCGGUCAAGGGUAUACGAGUAGCAGCGCUCCCCUGCUAGAACCUCCAAACAAGCUCUCAAGAUGAAGGGAGUAAAAGUUAUUAUUUCCUUUAGUACCUGAUUGUUUAAGUACACAACAGCUCA
rnacentral:snRNA from 1 species